rnacentral:rRNA from 1 species
UGAUACCUACGGGAGGCAGCAGUGGGGAAUAUUGCACAAUGGGGGAAACCCUUAUGCAGCGACUCCGCGUGAGCGAAGAAGUAUUUCGGUAUGUAAAGCUCUAUCAGCAGGGAAGAAAAAUGACGGUACCUGAGUAAGAAGCACCGGCUAAAUACGUGCCAGCAGCCGCGGUAAUACGUAUGGUGCAAGCGUUAUCCGGAUUUACUGGGUGUAAAGGGAGCGUAGACGGAGGAGCAAGUCUGAUGUGAAAAUCCGGGGCCCAACCCCGGAGCUGCAUUGGAAACUGUUUAUCUAGAGUGUCGGAG